CGUGCACGGAAACUAAUCUUCGGGUGAUGAUUGGUUGCAUGUACUGUUCCCGUGGUGAUCAUGUGCAUACCACGUCACCGCUAUGCCCACUUCCGUAUAGUUGUUUACAUAAGUAAGGCCUCGAGGACUUCCGCUAGGCGCCAUCUUUGGUGCCACGAGGGGAGAGGUCUUUUAGGGGCGCCUUACACCCUCUCCCCCAAGUGCCAACAUUGUCUUCAUUGCAGAAAGGCAGACUGCUUCUGGGCUAUGAAGUAUAGAAUGUCCAAUUUAAUCCUUGCAACAACCCUAUGAGGUGAGCAAGACAGAGGGAUAGCACCCUUGAUGAUCCUGUGACUACAACCCACCUCCAGACUUAGCCAGUCCCAAAUCGUGAGUGGUCUGGGCUUGUAGAAUAAUUGAGAAGAGGAAGGAGAAGAGGAGGUGGCGAAGGAGGAGUAGAACAUGGGGAAAUACGAGAGGCUGAGAACUCAGUUGACAAAAAGAUUGGAGAUAUUUAUAUAAACAAG